rnacentral:rRNA from 1 species
AGAGUUUGAUCAUGGCUCAGAAUCAACGCUGGCGGCGUGCCUAACACAUGCAAGUCGAGCGAGAAAAGGGGGGCAACUCCCUGAGUACAGCGGCGCACGGGUGAGUAACACGUGGGUAAUCUGCCCUGAAGUGGGGAAUAACACCGGGAAACCGGUGCUAAUACCGCAUACGAUCACGGAGUCUGCGGAUUUUGUGAUGAAAGGAGCAAUUCGCUUUAGGAGGAGCCCGCGGCUGAUUAGCUAGUUGGUGAGGUAAUGGCUCACCAAGGCUACGAUCAGUAUCCGGUCUGAGAGGACGGUCGGACACACUGGAACUGAGACACGGUCCAGACUCCUACGGGAGGCAGCAGUGGGGAAUUUUUCGCAAUGGGGGCAACCCUGACGAAGCAACGCCGCGUGGGUGAUGAAGUCUCUUGGGACGUAAAACCCUUUCGACGGGGAAGAAACCGCAAGGUUGACGGUACCCGUAGAAGAAGCCCCGGCUAACUCCGUGCCAGCAGCCGCGGUAAUACGGGGGGGGCGAGCGUUGUUCGGAAUUACUGGGCGUAAAGGGUGCGUAGGCGGUUCGUUAAGUUAGAUGUGAAAACUCUGGGCUCAACCCAGAGCCUGCAUCUAAAACUGGCGGGCUAGAGUUCUGGAGGGGGUAGCGGAAUUCCUGGUGUAGCGGUGAAAUGCGUAGAUAUCAGGAGGAACACCGGUGGCGAAGGCGGCUACCUGGACAGAAACUGACGCUGAGGCACGAAAGCUAGGGGAGCAAACAGGAUUAGAUACCCUGGUAGUCCUAGCCCUAAACGAUGGAUACUUGGUGUGUCCGGGAUUGAAUCCGGGCGUGCCGAAGCUAACGCAUUAAGUAUCCCGCCUGGGGAGUACGGUCGCAAGGCUGAACUCAAAGGAAUUGACGGGGGCCCGCACAAGCGGUGGAGUAUGUGGUUUAAUUCGACGCAACGCGAAGAACCUUACCUGGGCCCGAACGGCUGGGUGACAGC